rfam:Roseburia sp. CAG:50 genomic scaffold, scf179
GGGGAUGUACUGGUUUCGACGGGGUUUUAAAAGCCGGAGAAGCGAGCCGUAUGAAAUGCGUUAAAUUUCAAAUCUAAAUAUAAACGCUGAUAAUAAUAAAUUAGCACUGGCUGCCUAAGUUGCAGCUUGUCUGACCGGGAGCACCUGCACUUUCGGAUCCAGGCAUCGACCAUGCAGGAAACGACUUAUACAAAGCUUUGCGUAUAAGGGCGUAAUAUGAAGCUACUGAAACCGAAAACCGGUUACUGGGUGUUCGGCGGAGGGAAUGUUAAUACAGUGACUACGCUCGUAGAAGUACGGUGGCUGGAAUUUCGGACAGGGGUUCGAUUCCCCUCAUCUCCAUAA